GUGAAGUGAUUUGACAACAAAUGUAGGAGGGGUUUGUAUUGCAUUUUAAAGCACCACUGUUGACUCUCUACCAGGUGGCACUAUAUGCCCGCGUGUGCCAUAGGUUAGAGCCUCUGCCGGGGCUGGGUGCCCUUUGUGCCAGCGGUCCCACGCCCAGGUACUGCUCGGCUCACCUGGCGAGGACAGAGCCUCAGGGACCGGGCUGUGGACGGACAGAGAAGUACUGACGCUGUAAAAUCUUCCCAGCCCUGUGGUUCCAUUGGACAGAGGGGUGGAGGGACGAAUUCUGCAUCUAGGGAGGACAGUAGUAAGAGAAGCGCUUUGCAGCAUCCCAGUUGGGACUACCUCCAAAAGGGUCCUAACGCCCUGCUCUGGCCACUGGCCUGCCCUGCCUGACAAGGUUACCGCAGGGUGAGCUCACUUUUGUCAAUGCGAAGGCAUGAAAAGGGUAAGCAGCAGGAACAGGUGGCACUCUGAGAAAUGCGCCUGAAAUGUAGAGGAGGAAUUAAGGGAGGGGGAGAGAGCUAGGGAGUAGCAAUGCCGGACUGGUUUUAUCUCCAGACUCAGAGGAAGCAGUGGCGGGCUUUCUCCUUGAAAAGACAGGGUCUGCGACUAGGCCUCUCCCGCCCAACACAGGCCUCCUACAAGAGGGCCCUGGUGGGCCAAAGAUAGAAAUAUAUUCUUGCACACCUUAAAUUCUUAAGCUCCCUCUAGUAGUGUAUGAGAAUACUUUUGACAUGACGUGCAGAGAAUACAAUUUGUGAUGACUAUCCUGCAUAUGCAAAAAUUCUGUAAGUAUCGGGGUGGCUGUCAGAUUUUUAAUUAGCCCGUUCUUAUUUUUAGGAGAUGCUUCUGAAAGAAAAAGACCCUUAUUAAUUCGAAAUGAAUUUUCCAGCUCUCUGAAGGCAAUCUCCCAAAACAAAGACUAAUAAUAAUACUACUACUAUUAAUUACUGGCCAAAUUUUAAGAGCGUGUGUGAUUUUAUGAUGCUUAGCCUGGUGAAUUUAUUU
rnacentral:lncRNA from 10 species